GCUAAAACACACACUACGUACCAAUAUGCUAGUGCUAAUCUAAAAUGUCAGCUCUAUAUCUCUUGUGAAUGUGUGAUGCGUGCCUUAGGACCUCCUGUAGGUAUGCCCUAGUUAUGUGUGUGUUUUUCUUGGUGAGAAAGUUCUUGUUUUAGUCACAGAGGUAGAGCUGUCAUCUUCUUCAUCUACUAUCUCUACUAAAAAUGAAGCUUUGGGUGUCAGCAGUUGUCACUGAAUUUUUAGAUGACCAGCAAUAAAGUUUGCUGCUUAAUUUUGGACUGCCAAGUGUAAGUUUUCCAAGUGUGUGGGUGUAGCAAGUAACAUCUCUGAACCCUGAAAAAAAAUCAAAAUCGAAUCCAUUCUCUAUGUCCUCACAAUGCCUAUGAAUUUCACAUAGUGGUAGUUUAAGCACCACACACAUUGUCCAUGCAAAAAGAAGUGGAAUAAAACUAAAUCUAAACUGAACUUUACAAAAUUUUAAAAUCAGAACCUUUGUAUAGCUGACAAUGGAUCAUCGUACACAACAAGAUCUAGUAAGUAAUGCAACAACACACACGUACAUAAGAGUCAAAAAAUUGAUCAGAAGGCAUUACCUACAUGGAUAGACUAAGGUCUCUGUAGUGCAAGGAUUAGAAAAUACGAGCAACACGCCAAGGAC
rnacentral:lncRNA from 1 species